AUGAUUCUUUAGUUCAUUAAGUGUGAUGACUGAAUGUUCAUACUAUUGUGAUAUGUGCCUUCCUCAAACCCUGUUACAACCAUGGCACACCACUCAUCUGACA
ensembl:snoRNA